CAGCCGCCGCGGUAAUACGGAGGAUCCAAGCGUUAUCCGGAUUUAUUGGGUUUAAAGGGUGCGUAGGCGGCUUGUUAAGUCAGGGGUGAAAGGCGGUAGCUUAACUAUCGGAGUGCCCUUGAUACUGACGAGCUUGAAUGCAGCUGAGGUAGGCGGAAUGUGACAAGUAGCGGUGAAAUGCGUAGAUAUGUCACAGAACACCGAUUGCGAAGGCAGCUUACUAAAGUGCGAUUGACGCUGAGGCACGAAAGCGUGGGGAUCAAACAGGAUUAGAGACCCCGGUAGUCCCUGUCUCUUAUAC
rnacentral:rRNA from 1 species